GACGAACGCUGGCGGCGUGCCUAGUACAUGCAAGUUGAGCGCUGAAGGUUGGUACUUGUACCGACUGGAUGAGCAGCGAACGGGUGAGUAACGCGUGGGGAAUCUGCCUUUGAGCGGGGGACAACAUUUGGAAACGAAUGCUAAUACCGCAUAACAACUUUAAACACAAGUUCUAAGUUUGAAAGACGCAAUUGCAUCACUCAAAGAUGAUCCCGCGUGGUAUUAGCUGGUUGGGGAGGUAAAGGCUCACCAUGGCGAUGAUACAUAGCCGACCUGAGAGGGUGAUCGGCCACAUUGGGACUGAGACACGGCCCAAACUCCUACGGGAGGCAGCAGUAGGGAAUCUUCGGCAAUGGACGAAAGUCUGACCGAGCAACGCCGCGUGAGUGAAGAAGGUUUUCGGAUCGUAAAACUCUGUUGGUAGAGAAGAACGUUGGUGAGAGUGGAAAGCUCAUCAAGUGACGGUAACUACCCAGAAAGGGACGGCUAACUACGUGCCAGCAGCCGCAGUAA
rnacentral:rRNA from 1 species